rnacentral:rRNA from 1 species
CUUCGGUGUCCGAGUUGUAAUCUCUAGAAAUGUUUUCCGCGUUGGACCGCACACAAGUCUGUUGGAAUACAGCGGCAUAGUGGUGAGACCCCCGUAUAUGGUGCGGACGCCCAGCGCUUUGUGAUACAUUUUCGAAGAGUCGAGUUGUUUGGGAAUGCAGCUCAAAUUGGGUGGUAAAUUCCAUCUAAAGCUAAAUAUUGGCGAGAGACCGAUAGCGAACAAGUACCGUGAGGGAAAGAUGAAAAGCACUUUGGAAAGAGAGUUAACAGUACGUGAAAUUGUUGGAAGGGAAACGCUUGAAGUCAGACUUGCUUGCCGAGCAAUCGGUUUGCAGGCCAGCAUCAGUUUUCCGGGAUGGAUAAUGGUAGAGAGAAGGUAGCAGUUUCGGCUGUGUUAUAGCUCU